CCUCGGGUGGCAGCAGUGGGGAAUAUUGCACAAUGGGGGAAACCCUGAUGCAGCGACGCCGCGUGAGUGAAGAAGUAAUUCGUUACGUAAAGCUCUAUCAGCAGGGAAGAAAAUGACGGUACCUGAGUAAGAAGCCCCGGCUAACUACGUGCCAGCAGCCGCGGUAAUAAGUAGGGGGCAAGCGUUAUCCGGAUUUACUGGGGGUAAAGGGAGCGUAGACGGCAGCACAAGUCUGGAGUGAAAUCCCGGGGCUUAACCCCGGAACUGCUUUGGAAACUGUGCGGCUGGAGUGCAGGAGGGGUAAGCGGAAUUCCUAGUGUAGCGGUGAAAUGCGUAGACAUUAGGAGGAACACCGGUGGCGAAGGCGGCUUACUGGACUGUAACUGACGUUGAGGCUCGAAAGUGUGGGGAGCAAACAGGAUUAGAUACCCUUGUAGUC
rnacentral:rRNA from 1 species